rnacentral:tRNA from 1 species
GGGCAUGUGGUGCAACUUGGAUAGCACGUCGGCUUGCGGAGCCGUUGGUUGCGGGUUCAAAUCCCGUCAUGCCCG